rnacentral:rRNA from 1 species
CCAGACUCCUACGGGAGGCAGCAGUGAGGAAUAUUGGUCAAUGGGCUUACGCCUGAACCAGCCAAGUCGCGUGAGGGAAGACUGCCCUAUGGGUUGUAAACCUCUUUUGUCAGGGAACAAGGCGGGGACGUGUCCCCGGAUGAGUGUACCUGAAGAAAAAGCAUCGGCUAACUCCGUGCCAGCAGCCGCGGUAAUACGGAGGAUGCGAGCGUUAUCCGGAUUUAUUGGGUUUAAAGGGUGCGCAGGCGGCCUGUUAAGGCAGGGGGAAAAGCCCGGGGCUCACCCCCGGCGAGCCGUUGAAACUGGCGGGCUGGAGUUGGAGAGAAGUACGCGGAAUGCGCGGUGUAGCGGUGAAAUGCUUAGAUAUCGCGCAGAACCCCGAUUGCGAAGGCAGCGUACCGGCUCCACACUGACGCUGAGGCACGAAAGCGUGGGUAUCGAACAGGAUUAGAUACCCGCGUA